UACGUAGGGUGCGAGCGUUAAUCGGAAUUACUGGGCGUAAAGCGUGCGCAGGCGGUUUUGUAAGCCAGAUGUGAAAUCCCCGGGCUUAACCUGGGAAUGGCAUUUGGGACUGCAAGGCUCGAGUGCGGCAGAGGAGACUGGAAUUCCUGGUGUAGCAGUGAAAUGCGUAGAUAUCGGGAGGAACACCAGUGGCGAAGGCGACUUCCUGGCCUGUCCUUGACGCUGAGGCGCGAAAGCUAGGGGAGCAAACGGG
rnacentral:rRNA from 1 species